AUAUCCUCCUUUCGGGCAUCCUUCAAUUGUUUCUUCUAUUUCUUCUUGAGAGAACAAUAUGGAAGGACACUCCUGUAAAAAAGCAUCAAUAUGAAUUCCAAACUUUUGGACUAGAACUUCCAUUACCCUUUCUUUUUGGAAGAUGACUUCAUGGCACAGGGUCAAAUAGAGGAACUCACUACAUGAAGUUAAAUAAAGAACCAUGCAUACCACUCCUUGGAAAUUGAUUAAAAUCGACCCAUAUGCUACCAUCACAGUAUUACCUUUUACAUCUAUGACAAAUGGUUCAUACUUUUUGAGUGAACUUGUUUGCUAUAUCAAUAUGUUUGUGAGCACCAAGUAAUUCUGCAGCCUGACCGUAGUAUUUAAACAGCACUUGGUUCUUGCCUAGUAAGUAUAUGUCUGUAUAAUAUCACUUUUGGUUGUCUAACUAGUAAUUAGUUUCAAUCAAACAUUCCUCAUGUGCAAUAGUUUUGUACUUCAUUGAGAACAAGUUGAAAGCUUCAAGUUUCUCUGUAUUCUUGUUGAGAGAAAACACUUAGGACCUCUUGCCUUGUUUCUGGACAUACCUGGAAGGCUGGAAUAAUUGGAACGAAAUGGUGAAUACAACAUCUUAUGAUUUGCAGUAGGACCCACUUGUUGGCUCAAAAAGCUGAUUUGAUCGCGUUCUUCAGUCAUGUCACCUUCACUGUUCUUAUUGCCAACACUUGGAAAGAGCAAUUCUUUUUGAGAAGCUGACAACCAAACACCACCAGGUCCAUACCAUUAAUGUCUUCUAUCAAAAACUACACGUCCAACAGGAAGUCAAAUAUGCUUAACCUUUGAGGCUAUAGUUGGGGUGGAAUAUGGUUCAGAUUUUAUAAUUUUUUCUGUUCUCGUCAUGGCUGAAAUUCACUGCAAUUGGUAGUGAGCAAAUGAUGUUUUAUGGAAGAUUUUAAGGAUAUCUGAAGUUACAAACUAUGUCUACGUGUUGUUGGUA